CGGAGCAACGCCGCGUGAGUGAUGAAGGCUUUCGGGUCGUAAAACUCUGUUGUUAGGGAGAACAAGUACAAGAGUAACUGCUUGUACCUUGACGGUACCUAACCAGAAAGCCACGGCUAACUACGUGCCAGCAGCCGCGGUAAUACGUAGGUGGCAAGCGUUAUCCGGAAUUAUUGGGCGUAAAGCGCGCGCAGGCGGUUUCUUAAGUCUGAUGUGAAAGCCCACGGCUCAACCGUGGAGGGUCAUUGGAAACUGGGGAACUUGAGUGCAGAAGAGAAAAGCGGAAUUCCACGUGUAGCGGUGAAAUGCGUAGAGAUGUGGAGGAACACCAGUGGCGAAGGCGGCUUUUUGGUCUGUAACUGACGCUGAGGCGCGAAAGCGUGGGGAGCAAACAGGAUUAGAUACCCUGGUAGUCCACGCCGUAAACGAUGAGUGCUAAGUGUUAGAGGGUUUCCGCCCUUUAGUGCUGCAGCUAACGCAUUAAGCACUCCGCCUGGGGAGUACGGUCGCAAGACUG
rnacentral:rRNA from 1 species